GGUAUAGCUCAGUGGAAAAGCAUGUGCUUAGCGUGCAUGAGGUCCUGGGUUCAAUCCCCAGUACC
rnacentral:tRNA from 1 species